GAAGGGACAGCUCAGUGGUAGAGCAUGUGCUUAGCAUGCACAAGGUCCUGGGUUCAAUCCUCAGUACCUCCA
rnacentral:tRNA from 1 species